rnacentral:lncRNA from 1 species
GGGUGAAGCAUUGUCCAAAUGAUAAAAAUAACUGAUUUUAAAAAUGUAUUGCUCUAUUUAGCAAAAUCAAAGAUAAAAAAAUUCAUUAUUCAUUAGAAAAUGCAAUAAAUGACUAUUUGUAGAAAAAUAUUCUAAUGUUCAUUAUUGAACUAAAAUAUUCUAUCAUAUAUAUAUUUAUGAUUAUUGUACUUUUUAAUAAUAACUAUUUAAUUUAAAUAAAUCAUAUUUAUAUGGAGUUUUUGUAAAAAUAAAAAAUAGUUGGGGUUAAAUGGUAAUUUUUUUAUAAGUAGAAAGUAUUAUUAACAAUUAUUAAUUAAAUAAAAGUGGAACUAUUUUAGAAUAUUAUUUUUUGGAAUUAAAAAUAAAAUAAUAUAUUGGAGUAAAACUUUGGUAUUGCACCAUUUUAGAAUAAAAAUGAAAUGAUACACUAGAAAUGCUUUAAUUAGUAGCUUCCGGAGAUUGAUCCAUCUCUAUAAAGUUUACACACGUUUUGGAUUAGUUUGAUUCUAAGUCAAAGAUUUGGAUAAUUCUAUUGACUACAAACGGUCAAGAUAUAUUCUCGUCUUCCGAUUAUGACCUGACUUUUACGGUUUAUUAUGAUCCGGAUUGGACAUCAUAUCCAAUACAUAACACUUUUUAG